CCCCUGUCCCUCUGUCCCUGUCCCUAUCACCUGUCCCUGUCCCCUGUCCCCUGUCCCUGUCCCUGUCCCCAAAUACUGUCCCCUGUCCCCUGUCCCCUGUCCCUGUCCCCUGUCCCCUGUCCCUGUCCCCUGUCCCUGUCCCCUGUCCCCUGUCCCUGUCCCCUGUCCCCUGUCCCCUGUCCCCUGUCCCCUGUCACCCCUCCCAAGUCCCCUCCCCCGUGGCCGCUCUCCCUUUCUCGGCCCCCAUUGAAUUUUUCAUUUCCAUUUUGAUUUCCGUCCCUUUUGAUCCCACUUUGGAUUAUUUUGAUUUCUUUCGGAUCCAAUCCCCGUUUAUUUACUCAAAGUCCCUCCCUGGCCGAGCAUUUCCUGUCCCUUUGGGGACACGGUGCCACCCCUGGUGCCACCCUCAGUGCCACUCCUCAGUGUCACCCUCAGUGUCACCCUCAGUGUCACCCUCAGUGCCACCCUCAGUGCCACCCCGUUUUUGGGGACACCGCUCUUUAUGGGGUCACCCCAAAUGCCACCAGGUUUGGGGACACAGCUGGUGGCCCUCGGGAGGGGACAGGGACGGAAGUGGCGCGUCCGGCCGGAUGUCCCCAAGGCCACCAGGGACCGGACAGGCACAAAGGGCCGGAAGGAAGGGGACAGGGGACAGGCGGAUGUCCCCGCUCCUUCUGUGGGGCCACCCCAAAGCUGUGGGGGCGGCACCAAAGUUUGGGGUUUUGGGGUUUUUUGGGGGUUUUGGGAUUUUUUGGGGGUUUUGGAGUUUGGGAUUUUGGGGGUUUUGGGGAAUUUGGUUUGUGGGGUUUUUGGGAUUUGAGGUUUUUGGUUUGUGGGGUUUUGGUUUUUGGGAUUUUUGGUUUUUGAGGUUUGGGGUUUUGGGGUUUGGGAUUUGGGGGUUUGGGGUUUUUGGGGUUUGGGAUUUGGGGGUUUGGGGUUUUUGGGGUUUGGGUUUUGGAGUUAUUGGUUUUUGGGGUUUUUGGUUUUUGAGGUUUGGGUUUUGGGGUUUUGGGUUUUUUGGUUUUGGGGUUUUGUUAUUUGAGGUUUGGGGAUUUGGGGUUUGGGGUUUUUGGUUUGUGGUGUUUUUGAGUUUUAGGAUUUGGGGUUUUGAGGUUUUGGGGUUUGUGGGAAUGUCCCUGGAGGAUUUGGGGGACUUCAGGUGGGACAACAACCCCUGAUUUCCUUGGAUUCUCCAUGGGAUUUCUUCUGGAUUUCUUGGGGAAUUUUGGGGGAUUUCUCGCAGAAUUCUCGGGGAUUUCUCAGGGAAUUUUCAGGGAAUUUUCAGGGGUUUCUCAACAACUUCCAGCAAUUUCUCCGGGAAUUUCCACGCAAUUCCCAGGGAAUUUUCUCAGGCCAUUUCUCGCCGGUUUCUCCUUUAUCUCAGCCCCCAAAAAAAUUCCCAAAUCCCGACCCCUUUUCCAGGUGAAGAACGUGUCGGGCGGGACGAGCGUUCCGGACGAGGCCGCCACCGUCGCGUACUCGGAGAAGGGCGCGACCCCCCCC
rnacentral:lncRNA from 1 species